rnacentral:rRNA from 1 species
AACCUGAAACCGUGUACGUACAAGCAGUGGGAGCCCCACCACUAAGCCAGUGGUGAACUCCACAUACGCAUCCUUUGCUGAGGAUACGGUUAACGGAGCGAAAGCGACGUUCAACCGCAAAAGAAGCAGAGGGGGCUUAGUGGUGGGGUGACUGCGUACCUUUUGUAUAAUGGGUCAGCGACUUAUAUUCUGUAGCAAGGUUAACCGUAUAGGGGAGCCGGAGGGAAACCGAGUCUUAAUUGGGCGUUAAGUUGCAGGGUAUAGACCCGAAACCCGGUGAUCUAGCCAUGGGCAGGUUGAAGGUUGGGUAACACUAACUGGAGGACCGAACCGACUAAUGUUGAAAAAUUAGCGGAUGACCUGUGGCUGGGGGUGAAAGGCCAAUCAAACCGGGAGAUAGCUGGUUCUCCCCGAAAGCUAUUUAGGUAGCGCCUCGUGAAUUCAUCUCCGGGGGUAGAGCACUGUUUCGGCUAGGGGGCCAUCCCGGCUUACCAACCCGAUGCAAACUGCGAAUACCGGAGAAUGUUAUCACGGGAGACACACGGCGGGUGCUAACGUCCGUCGUGAAGAGGGAAACAACCCAGACCGCCAGCUAAGGUCCCAAAGUCAUGGUUAAGUGGGAAACGAUGUGGGAAGGCCCAGACAGCCAGGAUGUUGGCUUAGAAGCAGCCAUCAUUUAAAGAAAGCGUAAUAGCUCACUGGUCGAGUCGGCCUGCGCGGAAGAUGUAACGGGGCUAAACCAUGCACCGAAGCUGCGGCAGCGACACUCAGGUGUUGUUGGGUAGGGGAGCGUUCUGUAAGCCUGCGAAGGUGGCCUGUGAGGGUUGCUGGAGGUAUCAGAAGUGCGAAUGCUGACAUAAGUAACGAUAAAGCGGGUGAAAAGCCCGCUCGCCGGAAGACCAAGGGUUCCUGUCCAACGUUAAUCGGGGCAGGGUGAGUCGACCCCUAAGGCGAGGCCGAAAGGCGUAGUCGAUGGGAAACGGGUUAAUAUUCCCGUACUUGGUGUUACUGCGAAGGGGGGACGGAGAAGGCUAUGUUGGCCGGGCGACGGUUGUCCCGGUUUAAGCGUGUAGGUGUGUGUUCCAGGUAAAUCCGGUUCACUUUAACACUGAGGCGUGACGACGAGGCACUACGGUGCUGAAGCAACAAAUGCCCUGCUUCCAGGAAAAGCCUCUAAGCAUCAGGUAACAUCAAAUCGUACCCCAAACCGACACAGGUGGUCAGGUAGAGAAUACCAAGGCGCUUGAGAGAACUCGGGUGAAGGAACUAGGCAAAAUGGUGCCGUAACUUCGGGAGAAGGCACGCUGACAUGUAGGUGAAGUGAUUUACUCAUGGAGCUGAAGUCAGUCGAAGAUACCAGCUGGCUGCAACUGUUUAUUAAAAACACAGCACUGUGCAAACACGAAAGUGGACGUAUACGGUGUGACGCCUGCCCGGUGCCGGAAGGUUAAUUGAUGGGGUCAGCGCAAGCGAAGCUCCUGAUCGAAGCCCCGGUAAACGGCGGCCGUAACUAUAACGGUCCUAAGGUAGCGAAAUUCCUUGUCGGGUAAGUUCCGACCUGCACGAAUGGCGUAAUGAUGGCCAGGCUGUCUCCACCCGAGACUCAGUGAAAUUGAACUCGCUGUGAAGAUGCAGUGUACCCGCGGCAAGACGGAAAGACCCCGUGAACCUUUACUAUAGCUUGACACUGAACAUUGAGCCUUGAUGUGUAGGAUAGGUGGGAGGCUUUGAAGUGUGGACGCCAGUCUGCAUGGAGCCGACCUUGAAAUACCACCCUUUAAUGUUUGAUGUUCUAACGUGGACCCGUGAUCCGGGUUGCGGACAGUGUCUGGUGGGUAGUUUGACUGGGGCGGUCUCCUCCUAAAGAGUAACGGAGGAGCACGAAGGUUGGCUAAUCCUGGUCGGACAUCAGGAGGUUAGUGCAAUGGCAUAAGCCAGCUUGACUGCGAGCGUGACGGCGCGAGCAGGUGCGAAAGCAGGUCAUAGUGAUCCGGUGGUUCUGAAUGGAAGGGCCAUCGCUCAACGGAUAAAAGGUACUCCGGGGAUAACAGGCUGAUACCGCCCAAGAGUUCAUAUCGACGGCGGUGUUUGGCACCUCGAUGUCGGCUCAUCACAUCCUGGGGCUGAAGUAGGUCCCAAGGGUAUGGCUGUUCGCCAUUUAAAGUGGUACGCGAGCUGGGUUUAGAACGUCGUGAGACAGUUCGGUCCCUAUCUGCCGUGGGCGCUGGAGAACUGAGGGGGGCUGCUCCUAGUACGAGAGGACCGGAGUGGACGCAUCACUGGUGUUCGGGUUGUCAUGCCAAUGGCACUGCCCGGUAGCUAAAUGCGGAAGAGAUAAGUGCUGAAAGCAUCUAAGCACGAAACUUGCCCCGA